CUACGGGAGGCUGCAGUGGGGAAUAUUGGACAAUGGACCAAAAGUCUGAUCCAGCAAUUCUGUGUGCACGAUGACGGUCUUCGGAUUGUAAAGUGCUUUCAGUUGGGAAGAAAAAAAUGACGGUACCAACAGAAGAAGCGACGGCUAAAUACGUGCCAGCAGCCGCGGUAAUACGUAUGUCGCAAGCGUUAUCCGGAUUUAUUGGGCGUAAAGCGCGUCUAGGUGGUUUGAUAAGUCUGAUGUGAAAAUGCGGGGCUCAACUCCGUAUUGCGUUGGAAACUGUCAAACUAGAGUAUCGGAGAGGUGGGCGGAACUACAAGUGUAGAGGUGAAAUUCGUAGAUAUUUGUAGGAAUGCCGAUAGAGAAGUCAGCUCACUGGACGAAUACUGACACUGAAGCGCAAAAGCAUGGGGAGCAAACAGGAUUAGAUACCCCCGUAGUC
rnacentral:rRNA from 1 species